UACACAUGCAAGUCGAGCGGAUGAGUGGAGCUUGCUCCAUGAUUCAGCGGCGGACGGGUGAGUAAUGCCUAGGAAUCUGCCUGGUAGUGGGGGACAACGUUUCGAAAGGAACGCUAAUACCGCAUACGUCCUACGGGAGAAAGUGGGGGAUCUUCGGACCUCACGCUAUCAGAUGAGCCUAGGUCGGAUUAGCUAGUUGGUGAGGUAAAGGCUCACCAAGGCGACGAUCCGUAACUGGUCUGAGAGGAUGAUCAGUCACACUGGAACUGAGACACGGUCCAGACUCCUACGGGAGGCAGCAGUGGGGAAUAUUGGACAAUGGGCGAAAGCCUGAUCCAGCCAUGCCGCGUGUGUGAAGAAGGUCUUCGGAUUGUAAAGCUCUUUCGGCCGGGAAGAAAUCGUGGUGGCUAAUACCUGCCAUGGGUGACGGUACCGGACUAAGAAGCACCGGCUAACUACGUGCCAGCAGCCGCGGUAAUACGUAGGGUGCGAGCGUUAAUCGGAAUUACUGGGCGUAAAGCGUGCGCAGGCGGUUGUGUAAGACAGGCGUGAAAUCCCCGGGCUCAACCUGGGAACUGCGCUUGUGACUGCACGGCUAGAGUACGGCAGAGGGGGGUGGAAUUCCACGUGUAGCAGUGAAAUGCGUAGAGAUGUGGAGGAACACCGAUGGCGAAGGCAGCCCCCUGGGUCGAUACUGACGCUCAUGCACGAAAGCGUGGGGAGCAAACAGGAUUAGAUACCCUGGUAGUCCACGCCCUAAACGAUGUCGACUAGUUGUUGGAGGGGUAAAACCCUUUAGUAACGUAGCUAACGCGUGAAGUCGACCGCCUGGGGAGUACGGCCGCAAGGUUAAAACUCAAAGGAAUUGACGGGGACCCGCACAGCGGUGGAUGAUGUGGAUUAAUUCGAUGCACGCGAAAACCUUACCUACCCUUGACAUGCAGGAACUUGCCAGAGAUGGCUUGGUGCCCGCAAGGGAACCUGGACACAGGUGCUGCAUGGCUGUCGUCAGCUCGUGUCGUGAGAUGUUGGGUUAAGUCCCGCAACGAGCGCAACCCUUGUCAUUAGUUGCCAUCAUUUGGUUGGGCACUUUAAUGAGACUGCCGGUGACAAACCGGAGGAAGGUGGGGAUGACGUCAAGUCCUCAUGGCCCUUAUGGGUAGGGCUUCACACGUCAUACAAUGGUCGGUACAGAGGGUUGCCAAGCCGCGAGGCGGAGCCAAUCUCAGAAAGCCGAUCGCAGUCCGGAUUGCGGUUUGCAACUUGACUGCAGAAGUCGGAAUCGCUAGUAAUCGCAGAUCAGCAUGC
rnacentral:rRNA from 1 species